rnacentral:rRNA from 1 species
CGCACGGUGAGUAACACGUAUGCAACCUGCCUGCCACAGCCGGAUAAUCGGAGAAUUCCGUCUAAUACGGCAUAAUGCAUCGACGGGACAUCCUGUUGGUGCCAAAGGUUAAUUCCGGUGGCGGAUGGGCAUGCGUCGCAUUAGUUAGUUGGCGGUGUAACGGACCACCAAGACGACGAUGCGUAGGGGUUCUGAGAGGAAGGUCCCCCACACUGGUACUGAGACACGGACCAGACUCCUACGGAAGGCAGCAG